CUUGGCUUUGCUAAAUCGACAAUUUGCCAAAACCUCGUCUCCAUGGAUCCUAAAAACAGAGAUUUCCUAAACCACCUCGAAACAUACCUCGCCAAAAGAGACGGCGUAGACAAGCUCCUGAAGAUCUCUCGUUACACAACCAAGAUCAUCCUCGCAUCAUCCCUUCUCCCAGAAUCGGGAUCCCUAACUCACCGCCUCAAGAGCUUUGAAUCAAGCGUCGGAGUCAGCCGCAAAGCCUUCCGUCUCGGAAAAUUCGUACAAGACAUCAACGCCCUCAGAGCCUCGCCACGUGACUCGAGCCGCGACCUCCUCCUUCUGGUAAUCGCGUACGGGGGCGAAGGGUUGUACUACUUCGUCGAGCAGUUCAUCUGGUUAGCGAAAUCGGGAUUGAUCGAUGCGAAAUGGUUGCAGAAGAUCAGCGCAUGGGCAGAGCUCGUGGGGUAUGUUGGGAGCGUUUCGUUGAAGAUUAGGGAUUUGAGGAAGAUCAAGGACGAGAUUGAGAUGUCUAAUGGAGGAGAAGAGGAGAAGAUGAAGAAGCUUAAGGAGAAGAAGACAUUGAAAGUGUUGUCCAUCUUGCAAGAUCUUGCUGAUGGGUUGAUGACGAUCGCAGAUCUUAGGGAUGGUAAGGGAGUGUUAUCAGCUCCGAGUGUGAUUUCUUCAGCAGGUUUGUUCUCAGCCAUUAUCAGUACUCACAAGAACUGGGUUUCUUGUUGAUCAUUCGUUUCCGUAAUCCAUAUACUCAAUAAAUAGUUUCAUUUUUUGGUUCUUGUCUGCUUUAUUACAUCACUGAUGUUUUGUUUCAGUGUUCCUCUCAAAUUCAAUGUUUUAUCAGAUAUAUAAACAGAGUUGAAGAAAUACAUGAUUUAAAUCAGUAAAGAUGAAAUAAUUCCAAUCUUUGGAAGCAAUAAAAACAAGCUUUUAACUCUUGUUCUUGAAUAAAUGUUUCAUUUUUUUUUCUUGUCUCCUGCUUAUUACAACACUGAUGUUUUGAUACAAAGUUUAGAUAUAUAAACAGAGUUGAGGCAACUAAUACAUGGAAAGAUGAAAUGGUUCCCAGCUUUGGAAGCGAUACAAACAGAUUGAAGAAUUGUUAAAAGUAACAUUUUUUCGAACAACAUUACAAAGACAAAUGUGGUCGUCUACAUUUCUUUUAAGGAACUGCUGUUAGAUUUUUAUCGUUUUAGUUGAAAUGGAGGUAAGCAGCCUCUGAGAGGUGACUGUAGGAAUAAGGAUGACGUCGAAAGCUGUUUUUGUCUCAGGGAGAUGGAAGACAAGCAACUGAAUGAGCUCGUAAGACUUCUCUUUUCGUUUUCUUCUUCGGGAAUUUGCUCGUCUGGAUCAUGGCAAACCGCUGUAAUCUUGAGUGACUCGGGAAGUAUGCAACUACACACAGAACCUGCAGGAAAUGCAGAGUUUGUGUUCAAGACAAAUCAAUCAUCGCGUUCUCUCCCCAGGCGCCAUCUCCUUCUCCUUGUCCUUCUCUCUGUCUCUCUGUCUGGUAUCCAUCUCUUCAGGCCUUGCUUCCCACGAUCCGGUCUCUCCUGGAACAACCAAGCCUCUCCCCGGUUUACUCCUUGGAUCGUCGGUUCUCUCUUUUCCUUUUGGGGUUUGUCUCUCACUAUUUUGGCAAAGGUUCCUCUCAAGAAUUCUGUGUGUAAAUCUGGAUCCAGGGCUCUGUAUUUAUAGAGAGAGGGAGUCGGAACUGCCAUGGGCCGAAGGGGUGGGAGUUGUAACCGAAAAGGUGUGUCUCUCUCCCUUGCAACCGUUCGGCAAUAACUGCCCCCAACCGGUCCUCAACUGCCUCCAACUGCUCCUGUCCCUUUCGUUCUCUAUCCUGAUGCCAAGGCCAAGCCCUUUAACUGACCGUCCAUGCCGUGGCCUCACCAUCUAACCGAACCACCAUAACCGCCCUUGUAACCGCCCCAACCGUCCUGGACAUGAACACUCGGCCCAGCUGAGUUGAGCUGAUUGCUAGCUGGUCCCAGCUUAGUGAGCUAGUCCUUCCAGCUCCACGAGCUGAUGCAGACUAACUGAGCUCCCAUUGAGCUUCCCUGAGCUGCCCAAACUCGGCCGCUGUCCCGUCCAGCUCCAUUAAACCCAUUCUUUCUUCACCCUGGUUAAGUCUCAACACUUUGAUGCCCUUAACCCUAUGUCUGAGCCAUGAUACGCUUGUCUACCGGUCUAAUGACCUGACUGGUGCGUCUCCCCGCACCAUGGCGCGUCCCAACGAUCCUAUCUCGGAUCGGGGACAUGACAGGGAUGACGCUGAGGAGGGGGAUUAAGGUGAGGAGGGGGAUGAAGCUGAUGUGAGGGAUGAAGAUAAAGAGGGGCAUGAAUCUGAGGAGGGGGAUGAAGCUGAGGAUGGGCAUGUAGCUGAUUAUUAAGUCAGCUGCAUCGUACUAGUAAAUCCGACAAAUUUCGCUAUCCUUUUCCCGUAAUCUCCACACAAAGACGUAUUGUUCGAUUUUCCAUAGGCUUAGAAAACUUUUCAAUUGUCGAGUAUUAGAGACGUAAAAUGGUAUAGUAUUGUGCACCAUAGUUUUCAAAGCUUUAUUCGAGAACAAGUAGCACAGCUGAAUCUGAUGGCUCGACUCACUCCGUAAUCAUCGAGUAUCGACUUCGCAAAUUCGUCGUGUGUUUUUUUCUUAUUUAAAUGCAUAACUCUAGACCCUUGAAAUGUUGUAUAUGGGUAUCAGAUGAAGAAGGUAGAAGAAGAAGGAAGAAGAAGAUAAGGUGUCGCAACACAAACCCUAAUUAAUUUGAGAUUGUCUGUAAUGUAAAUAAUGACAUGAAAUAGUAGCUGAUGACAUGGUAAAUCUGAUCUGAUGUCAUUUUUUUUUUCUUAUAUGACAAGUAAGACACCAAACAAACACGUAAAUCAGCAAUCAAGUACAAAUGUAAGCAAGUCGCAACGUGAAUACUAUUUUAAUAAUUAAACAACAAAAAAUUGGGUGCGAAAAUAGGCCACCAAACGAAAACGUAAAUAUUAAGUCAGUUGUAUCGUAAAAAAGAUCAACCGUCAAAUGAUGCUAUUUUAAUAAUUAAUCUUUUCUAGUAAAUCAGACAUAAUUAGGCGGAGUUACCGUUAAUCCAUCUCAUUACAACUGAUUUACGCUGGUUAUACGUAAAUCAUGCGUAACUAUCUCCCAUAACUAACCCAUCAAUUUUAUAACUCAGCCAGCCGAUGAUCAUUACAUGAGCAGGAGAAACAAAACUCAUUCGUGUCCAAUCUACAACUCAUGCAAUUUUUCAACAAAUCAACCAGCCGAUGCAUAAAUCAAUUGUAACUUGUGUUCGUAAGCUCAAAAAUCAGCAAGUUUCUGUAAAUCAACUGUCACUUAAGGCUUGUUUAUGUUCGUAAGUCAGCUUGAGCUCAUAAAUCAGCCAUGUUUUUGUAUCAACCAUAUCGUUGGACUUAUUUAUAUGUGUAAAUCAGCCAAGUUGUUUAAUCAGUCGAAAUGUAUAUUAACUCAGUUGUCAAUACCGUCUUAACGCUUUACGGCUGAGUUCACUAAAACACGUCAACAAAUUCCUGUGGUGCCAGAUAUUUCUGUAUGACAACAAACGGCUAUUCUAUUACUCAAACUUGAGAUCGUCCAGAUAACCAGACCGGAAUAGAAUAACCAAUGAAAUAAAGAUUGUUGUAAAAUGAUUGUGCAGUCCUAGCUAAAGAAUCUGAAAUUCCAUUCAGCGCUCUUGUGAUAUGAGAGAUCUUGAAAUCCGGAUAUGCAUCGUCUUUCUCACUUCCAAUUUUGUUGCAAAACUCAACCAUGCUUGAGAGUCAUGUAUCAUCGCAAUCAAAUCCUUGCAAUUUGUUCCAAAGCUCUUACAUGUCGAAAACUGAAGCAUGCUCUCCAUAUCCCAUUUCUGAAUGUAAAGCGGUCUCUCGGCAACUUAAAUUCCAUGUCCCCAACAGCUGAGUUUUCCCAAACCUAUCCUUCCAAACCCAAACGCAACCACUAAACCAUGCUUGACAUUCAUUUUCCCAAUAUCAGACUACCUCCAGUUGUUCCUUAUCUAUCCCCCUAAAACGUUUACAUUCAGAGCCUUUUAGAUAUGCCAUAUUAUCCAAAGAUAAUGAUCCAUAUCUAAUUUUGGUUCAGCAAUGUUAUUCUUUCUCUAGAACAGAUAAUCCAUUUGGCGUAUAUGCUUGAUAACGGGAAGAUGUUAGGGUUAGUUGGUGUUGCAGAUAGAGACCAUACUUGUAAAGCUGGGGCGCAUUUGAAGAUGGCAUGAGUAACAGUUUCUUAUGGUUCCCCACAUCUAGGGCAAUAAUUAUCGCAUCAAAUAUGUCGACGUGUCAGAUUUCUUGUUACUGCUACAUCUCAUGUUACCAAUUGCCACAUAAGAUGACAUAUCUUCAGUCAUGUUGUUCAAAUCAACAUGAAUGCUAUGGUGGGAACCCAAGGAUCCUCUCAAACAUUGACUGCAUAUCUACAUCCCAUUCUUUUGAUUGACUGUUGAUUAGAUCGCUGGCUGGCAUUUUUGUAUUCAACAUUGGGGCAAAAGGUUAAGUCGGCUUGAGUGCUAUGGUGGGAACCCAAGGAUCCUCCCAAACAUUGACUGCAUAUCUAUAAUGGAUUUUUCGUCUAGUCCCCAAAAGCAAUAAAUUCCUUACAACUGAAAUACUAGUCCACAUAUACGAUGGGUUGUUUAUUGAGCAUAAACGCAAAUUUCAUGUGCAUUAACAAGUGAUUUUGUAGUUGAGUUAUUUGUCAGAACAUAAUUUUUUAUAUACAUCUGGUAAUAUUGCUUAAUUUGUGUGUUGUUUAAGAAAAGUUUUCUUAAAAAAAGACUUGUGUUCGUAAGUCAGCUGUUAGCUCAAAAAUUAGCAAGGUUUAUGUAAAUCAUCCAUCACUUAAGGCUUGUUUAUGUUCGUAAGUUAGCCUAUAGUUCAUAAAUCAGCCAUGUUCUUGUAACUCAAACCGUAUUGUUGGAUUUAUUUAUACGUAUAAAUCAGUCAUGUUGUUCAAAUCUACCGCAAUAUAUAUUAACUCAAUCGUCUAACCGUUGUAACGCUUUACAACUGAGUUCAUUAAUACAUAUCAGCAUUUUUUUUGUUUGGCGCCAAAAUUUCUUUUCUGAUAUUUAUUAACAAGUAGUGACAUUUUUGUAGUUAAAAAAAAAAAGAAAUUAUAUACUUUUGGUAAUAUUACUUAAUUUGUGUGCUGUUUAAGUAAAAUUUUCUUUAAAAAAACGACUUGGGUUCCACAUUUGCCGGGCACGCUAACCAAUAAUUCAGCCUUGGGAUCCUUUCACAUCAAUCAUCCCCUUCUUCUUCGCUUUGCCAAAACCUCGUCCCCAUGGAUCCUAAAAACAGAGAUUUCCUAAACCACCUCGAAACAUACCUGGCCAAAAGAGACGGCGUAGACAAGCUCCUGAAGAUCUCUCGUUACACAACCAAGAUCAUCCUCGCAUCAUCCCUUCUCCCAGAAUCGGGCUCCCUAACUCACCGCCUCAAGAGCUUUGAAUCAAGCGUCGGAGUCAGCCGCAAAG
rnacentral:lncRNA from 1 species